rnacentral:rRNA from 1 species
AUAAAAAAAGAAGGUGAUUAAAUCACGUUAUCUAGAGGAAGGAGAAGUCGUAACAAGGUAACG